AUUUUUUAAAGAGAGGCGUCGGACUCACGUGUUCUAUUUAGUGAGCGUGCUAUUUAGAGAACCACUUUUCAAACUCACUGUAUUAGACGAGCGAGUGAGGCUUUUUUUUCUCACUAUUGGACUCAUUUAAGUUAGUCCCGUCUCUUACCAAACAAGGGUUUCAAGUGCUAAUUAACCCAAUCCAGUCCAAUGAGGCGUACCAAACAUGGCCUUUAGUCAUUAAGGUAAUUUCGUCCAUGAUCAACCACGCCAUAAGGCUCACUGAAGGGUGUGGUAGGGAGAUGCCUCGCCACUUCAAGUGUGGGAGUAAGAAACACCCAUCUUUCCUUCUUUCUCUCUCCUCUCUCUCUCUCCCCCUCAAAUAUAUAAAAUCGAAGCGAAACUUGUUUGCUUCAUCAAACUAUGUUAAUCUUGUUAGUUUGGUAUACGUUGUUGGUCUUUUCUGCAGUAGCUAAUUGGAGAAUAUGGUAUUGAAGCUCGUUGCAGGGCAGUUUUGUGCAUGUUAUUUUUGGACUAAUAUGCGAGUUUUGUGUUAUCCUGAAGUUCUUUUGGUGUCGUCGAUAUUUUCAUUGCAGGCAUCACUACUCCAUGAAAGUUGGGUUCACUCAGUUGCUGCAUUU
rnacentral:lncRNA from 1 species